GUAAUAAUGAGAGCCAGGUGUGUGUAAUGAUGAGUGCCAGGUGUGUGUAAUGAUGAGUGCCAGGUGGGUGUAUUAAUGAGAGCCAGGUGUGUGUAAUGAUGAGUGCCAGGUGUACGUAAUGAUGAGUGCCAGGUGUGCGUAAUAAUGAGAGCCAGGUGUGCGUAAUAAUGAGUGCCAGGUGGGUGUAAUGAUGAGUGCCAGGUGGGUGUAAUGAUGAGUGCCAGGUGUGUGUAAUGAUGAGUGCCAGGUGUGUGUAAUGAUGGGUGCCAGGUGUGUGUAAUGAUGAGUGCCAGGUGGGUGUAAUGAUGAGUGCCAGGUGGGUGUAAUGAUGAGUGCCAGGUGUGUGUAAUGAUGAGUGCCAGGUGUGUGUAAUGAUGGGUGCCAGGUGGGUGUAAUGAUGAGUGCCAGGUGUGUGUAAUGAUGAGUGCCAGGUGGGUGUAAUGAUGAGUGCCAGGUGUGUGUAAUGAUGGGUGCCAGGUGUGUGUAAUGAUGAGUGCCAGGUGUGUGUAAUGAUGAGUGCCAGGUGGGUGUAAUGAUGAGUGCCAGGUGUGUGUAAUGAUGAGUGCCAGGUGUGUGUAAUGAUGAG
ensembl:lncRNA